AUUCUGCCCAUGCGGGGAAGGAUGAGAAGCUUCGACUAAGGUUCGGCUCGAGCGUCAGCGAGAGAGCGUUGCCGCAGGCAACGACCCGAAGGGCGAA
rnacentral:sRNA from 1 species